GACUAUACCUACUUACCCCUCUCUUUUCCCUCCCUCAAAUCUAUAAACCAAUCAUUAAAUAUAUGUAUGUAUACAUACAUAUGUAUAUUACGUAUAUAAUAUAUAAUAUAAUAUAUAAUAUAUAAUAUACUACAUAUAUAAAUAUACUUGUAUAAAUACAUAUGUAUAUAUAAUUAAUAUAAUAUAAAUAUAAUAAUAUAAUAAUAUAAUAUAAUAUAUAUUUCUUAAAUAUCUAAGACCUAUAAAAUUAGUCUCCUACGACUAUACUUACUUACCCCUCUCUUUCCCUCCUCAAAUCUAUAAACCAAUCAUUAAAUAUAUGUAUGUAUACAUACAUAUGUAUAUUAAGUAUAUAAUAUAAUAUAUAAUAAUACUACAUAUAUAGAUAUACUUAUAUAAAUACAUAUGUAUAUAUAAUAUAAUAUAAUAUAAUAUCUAUUUUCUAAAUAUCUAGGACCUAUAAAAUUAGUCUCCUACGCCUAUACCUACUUACCCCUCUUUCCCUCCUCAAAUCUAUCACAAAAUCUAAAUCCUACAACAUUCGUACUACUUCCCACCUUUCUCCAAUCUGUUGCUCUUGUCAAACCUGUGUUCUAAAACAAAAAUUUAAGUUAAAAAAUAAGAAUAAAAAUAUAACAAUAAAUAGUACCUCUUGUUCUACUAGAAGUAAAGACUUUUAAAGUGAGCAAGUCUG
rnacentral:lncRNA from 1 species